rnacentral:rRNA from 1 species
AGUGAACGCUGGCGGUAGGCCUAACACAUGCAAGUCGAACGGCAGCACAGUAAGAGCUUGCUCUUACGGGUGGCGAGUGGCGGACGGGUGAGGAAUACAUCGGAAUCUACUUUUUCGUGGGGGAUAACGUAGGGAAACUUACGCUAAUACCGCAUACGACCUACGGGUGAAAGCAGGGGAUCUUCGGACCUUGCGCGAUUGAAUGAGCCGAUGUCGGAUUAGCUAGUUGGCGGGUAAAAGCCCACCAAGGCGACGAUCCGGAGCUGGUCUGAGAGGAUGAUAAGCCACACUGGAACUGAGACACGGUCCAGACUCCUACGGGAGGCAGCAGUGGGGAAUAUUGGACAAUGGGCGCAAGCCUGAACCAGCCAUACCGCGUGGGUGAAGAAGGCCUUCGGGUUGUAAAGCCCUUUUGUUGGGAAAGAAAAGCAGCAGGUUAAUACCCCGCUGUUCUGACGGUACCCAAAGAAUAAGCACCGGCUAACUUCGUG